GGCGUGCGCCACCACGCCCGGAAAGAAGUUCUUUUUCCAUAAAAGGAGCGAGUCUGUGACAUUCUCCCCAGCGUGAAUGGACCUCCAGGACGCCGUCCUCAGCGAGAGACGCCAGACAUGAAGGGCACAGCGUGGGCUUCACGGACAGGAAACUCCCAGGACAGCUGGCUGCAGUGCACCACGUCCUCUGGGUACUACGGAGCGCGGCAAGUAGAGGACCUGGACCGUCUUGCGGGCCUUCACCCUGCCUUUCAGCAGCAGGGUCAGGCUCAGCCUGCCCCCUCCCCGUUUCUGGCACCUUCAGCAGCAUGAGGUCGUGGUCCAGCCUGGGCAGUGGCACAUAGUACAGGUGCCGGAUAGCUGCCUCGAUGUGGAAGCUGAGGCUGGGGCCCUUGCAGUCGUGGAGACCCACUCCACCAUCAGCUCCUCUUCCUGCUGACACCAGGUCCCCAGAGUGUGCAGCUGUGACCAUCACCCUCAGCCUCCCCUGCUCUUGCUCCUGCCCCUGCCCAGCCCAGGCUGCUGUGGGAUGUGGGUCCACAAGUUUUCAGAGCUUUGCCUGAACCAGGGAGACAAAUCUUCCCACAAGGCUCCAGGGAUCCACCCUUGCCUCCCUGUGGAGAGGCUCAUGUGGGCUGCUGGAUCAAACUGCACCUGAAGCUAGGCCUCCUGGACUUCUUAGGACCCCACCAGCCCAGUCCCUGUGAAGCAGCCAGAAGUCAGCUUUAAAAUGAAAUCAAGGACCUGGCACGGUGGUGGUGCACACCUGUAAUCCCAGCAC